CUGGAAUUGGUAAACUCACACUCUCAGUGCUAUCCCACUACAGUUAUAGAAAGGUCAUACUCACAUUCUGAGUGCUAUCCCACAAGAGUUAUGGAAUGCUCAUCUUUCAUCAGUUGAGAGAACCCUGGCUAACGCAAAUGGUUAACAAAAUGUCAGGACAAUGGUUACCAGUGGAGGAAAGUAUGAUUGAGAGAGAAACACAGGAGGAGUCUAAGACAGAGCAAGUGGCACAAUCAUAGCUUGCUGCAGCCUUGAAGUCCUGGGCUGAAGUGAUCCACCUUCCUCAGCCUCCCCGGUCACUGGGACUACAGGUGCACACCACCAUGCCUGGCUGAUUAUUAUUAUUAUUAUUAUUUUAUUUUUUGUAAAGAUGAGGUCCAACUAUGUUUCCCAGACUGGUCUCAAACUCCUAGGCUUAAGUGAUCCUCUACCAUAGCCUCCCAAAGUACUGGGAUUAUAGCUGUGAGCAACCACACCCAUCUGAUAUUCUUAUAUUAAUCCAACAAUUAUAUAAUUUUUAAAAAACUCUACAGUUUUCUAUGUGGACAAUCAUGUGGUAUGCAAAUUAUUUUGUUUCUUUUCAGUUCUUAUGUAUCUUCUUUGCUUCUGAUGCACAGCUAGCCCUAUAGUACCUAUUACCAUGUGAAUCUAUAUAGAUAUACCUACAGAUGAACUCAUACACUGAUA